CAUUGAAUGGACUCAAUAGUAACUAGGACGGUUACUACUAAGGAAAGACAAGGACUCCUCUGGAAGAGGCAAGGAUGUUACAUCAGGAUGAUGUAAAGGACACCGCUCACGGAACAAGUGAUGAGAACUAACUAGGACAGUUAGUAGACCAGGAUAAGGUCAUGGACACCGCUAGGAUGGCGACGUAAGGAUUAUGCUGAAGGAAUACAGCACACUAUCAAGGAUUUGAUGCAAGGAGCACCUUUAGUAGCUGGAUUGCUGCGGGUAAAACUCUAACCCCGAUGGGUGCAAACCCUCGGGGUUUUUCUUUGU
rnacentral:other from 1 species